AACUCACUAGCUAUCUCAUCAAUUUGCAAUUGUGCAAAUUAUUCAUUAUGGUUCGUCUAUUGGGAAAUUUUACAAAAGCAAGCCUAGUUCAAGCGUUUAAUUUCAUGUCAAACCUACUUAAAUCCUCCUUAAGGUCUAUUUUUUUUCUCUUCUCUUAUAAAGUUUUUUAUCUUAGCUUUUAACUUGAAUCAGAGAUCUUCAAAAAAAAAAUAUUUUUAUAUUUUAUUUUACAGUUUAUCUUUAUGCUUUUAGAAUGAAUAGGAUACUCAUGGACUGAUAUGUAUUGAUUUAUCUAGAUAGGUGUAAGUUAUUGAUUAAGAGUUAAAUCUCUCAUAAUAUUUAUUUAUAUUUUUAUAAUAUAUUAAUGUAAAUAAAUAGUUGAUAUAUAUAAAUCAACAAUUUUUAAAUAAAUUUUUUUAUAUUUUUAAAAAUAAUUUUAUGAAAAAAAAUGAAAAAAUAAAAGAGGUUAUUUCAAACUCAUGUGUUAUUAAAUAAAAUUAAAGAGUAAUGUUGACAUUUCAUAACUCAUUGUUAGUUUUAUUUUGAAAUAAUAAAAUCAUAUAUUUUUUAAAAGAUAUAUUUUAAAAAUAAUUUUUAAAAUGAUUUAUUUCAAAUUAUUUUUAGUAUGAUUCUAUAUGGAAAAAAUAAAUUUUAAAUUAAUUAAUUUUAUAAAAUUGAUUUAGACAAAAAAUUAAAUUGAAGAUUAAUUUUUUUUUGUUUAGAUAUAUUUAAAAUUGUGUUUAAAAUAUAUUAUUAAAUGGGCAUUUAAUGUUAUCUAAUGAUCAACUAGAUUGAAUAUGUACUUUAACUUUUACAAUAUAUAAAUAUACUAGAGUUGGGUUUCAAACAAUGAGAUGGGUUGUUAAGUCUGAACAAAAAUUGAUCAGAGAUUCAUUUUUCUUUUUUAAAGAAAUAUUAAAGUUUAAUAACUAGUAUAAAUUAUAAGCUAAUUAUUUUAUAUAUAUGGAUCCAGGAUGCGUGGUGGACCAAAAAAUUCAGGCCUCAGCGAAGGAGAUGGUGGACAAAUUAAUAGGAAGGGAAAAAACAAGGAAACAAAAAAGUAAGGAAACCAACUCCAAAAAAAUAAAAAUAAAAUAACUAGUCUAUAUCUAUGGAAAUGGUGAUGUUUGUGAUUUUUAAAUAAGAGUAAUUAUUUGAGUGUUCUCAUAGACAAGUUGAUUAAAAAGAAGAAGAAGAAAAAAAAGUGUAGACCCGGCUUUGUCAUGUAUAAUUGUGCUUCAUAUGUGAUAAAAUGUGUGAAUUUAAUUUUGCAUUGUAAAUUAAUUAACUAAUUAAUCCUUGCAAGGCAUAUGGCACUCUCAUAUUUCUAAAAGCUCAUGCAUGCAUGCAGAGCUCAUUUUACCGUGCAAUAUUCCUCACACGUGUGUAUGGUAAUCUAUGCUUAUAAACUUUUAAACAUACAAAUAUAUGGUGCAAUACAUCACAUGCUUAAACAUAAAUGUUUAUUUU
rnacentral:lncRNA from 1 species